ACGGGAGGCAGCAGUGGGGGAUAUUGCACAAUGGGGGAAACCCUGAUGCAGCAAUACCGCGUGAGGGACGAAGGCUUUAGGGUUGUAAACCUCUGUCCAAAGGGACGAAUUUUGACGGUACCUUUGAAGAAAGCUCCGGCUAACUACGUGCCAGCAGCCGCGGUAAUACGUAGGGAGCAAGCGUUGUCCGGAUUUACUGGGUGUAAAGGGUGCGUAGGUGGUUUUGUGGGUCAGGCGUGAAAUUUAAGAGCUUAACUUUUGAACUGCGUUUGAAACUACAAAACUUGAGCUGAGUAGGGGCAGAUGGAAUUCCCGGUGUAGCGGUGAAAUGCGUAGAGAUCGGGAGGAACACCAGUGGCGAAGGCGAUCUGCUGGACUUUUGCUGACACUGAGGCACGAAAGCGUGGGUAGCAAACAGGAUUAGAUACCCUGGUA
rnacentral:rRNA from 1 species